rnacentral:lncRNA from 1 species
ACACACACUUCUACUUCCCUCUUCGGGCUCUCCAAGGGGGCCGUAUCCCUCCACUAUCCCAUCCUCCAGAGCGCUGAGGUCCCAAAGGGCAGCACCUGGGGAACGAGGAAGCAUCCUCCUCUCCCCCCGCCACCUCCCGCCCGCGCCGCCGGCCAGGUCCGCAGGCUCUGGCCGGUCCGCCGCCCUCCCCCGCCCGGCCUGGAACAGCGCCGGAGUGACUGGGCGUCCUCGCUGCAGGAAGGACGCCCCAGAGGGUGGCGGUGGCGGCAGGAGGAGCCGCGUCACGCCCAAGCCCUCUCCACCCCCUCUUCCCCGGUCCCUGGUAUCAGGGGCCUCCACGCAGCGCAGGGAGACUCCCCGGGGGGGCGGGGGCAGCGGCAGCUCCGCAGCCCAGGCCUCCAGCAGCGCCACGAGGGUGGACGGGGCAGAGGGUGGCGCAGCCGGGGCUGCGCCCAGAGGGAGGGGCAGCGGGGGCGCGCGGCGCUGCCCGGACCGUCAACGCCAAGGACUGCGGGGCCGGCCCUGUUCCAGGCCUUGGGGCCAGUUGAGGAGGCCGCAGGGCCACCUCGGCGAGGGCCGGGGCGUGUGGAGCCGCACGCGACGGGCACAGGCCCGCCACCGGGGGACGCCCCCACCCACCGCUCACCUUCACGGAGGCGAGUCCGCACGGGGCCCUGGGGAGCAGCGAUGGCCCGAGGCAGAGCACAGGCAGGGGCGGUGUCCCCUGGGCUCCUCCUGCAGCCGCCGCCGCCGCGGUCUCCGGCUCCCGCAGCCCGGGGCCGAUCGCUCCCUGCCGCGGUCCGCCCUUGGGAGUUUCGCCGGCCGCCCGCGCUCCGCCUCGCGCCGCCGGCCCGCCCGCCCGCUCAGCGUUGGCGCCUCACAGCUCCGCUCCGCUCUGCCGCUGAGCGCGGCCGACGCGCGGCCCCCGCUGAAAUAGCGCCCCGCCCCCGCCCCCCCCGCCGCGCGCGCCGCCGUCCGCGCUCCCCAUUGGCUGCGCCCGCCCGGCCCCGCACUGCGGGCUUCUCCCCGCGCCGCUCUCGCCCCACAUCUUGUUUCCUCCCACAAUGCCUCGGGGCGGAGGGAGCGGGUGGGGAGGAGGAGCUGGAGCGGGUGGGGGAAGGAGCCGUGGCCUUAAGAAAGGAGAGGAAUGCGGACCCCUACGCCCGGGGCUGGAGAGGCCAGGCCUGA